rfam:Ictidomys tridecemlineatus contig115381, whole genome shotgun sequence.
GGGGAUGUGGCUCAAGUGGUAGCGCGCUCGCCUAGCAUGCGUGCGGCCCGGGUUCGAUCCUCAGCAGCACCA